UGGGGGGUAUUGCACAAUGGGCGGAAGCCUGAUGCAGCGACGUCGCGUGAGGGAUGGAGGCCUUCGGGUUGUGAACCUCUUUCGCCGGUGAAGAAGGUCCUGCUCCUUGUGGUGGGGUUGACGGUAGCCGGGUUAUGAAGCGCCGGCUAACUACGUGCCAGCAGCCGCGGUAAUACGUAGGGCGCGAGCGUUGUCCGGAAUUAUUGGGCGUAAAGGGCUUGUAGGCGGCUGGUCGCGUCUGCCGUGAAAUCCUCUGGCUCAGCUGGGGGCGUGCGGUGGGUACGGGCUGGCUUGAGUGCGGUAGGGGAGGCUGGAACUCCUGGUGUAGCGGUGGAAUGCGCAGAUAUCAGGAGGAACACCGGUGGCGAAGGCGGGUCUCUGGGCCGUUACUGACGCUGAGGAGCGAAAGCGUGGGGAGCGAACAGGAUUAGAUACCCUGGUAGUCCAUGCUGUAAACGUUGGGCACUAGGUGUGGGGGGUCUUUCCGGGUCCUCCGCGCCGUAGCUAACGCUUUAAGUGCCCCGCCUGGGGAGUACGGCCGCAAGGCUA
rnacentral:rRNA from 1 species